UGAACCUUAAAAAUAUUUAAUUUUCUUACAGAAGUAAUAAGUACAAAGAUUCUAUAUAAUAAAUAAAAUCAUUCUUUAUGAAAAUAUUGAGAUCAUAAGAGAGUGCACGGAAGCAUUUAUUAAAAUUUCUCAAGGUCUGUGCCAUAAAAAUCAUAACUUAAAAUCUCUAUACAUGAUCUAGGUCAUUGCCACGUCAG